rnacentral:lncRNA from 1 species
GAUUAAAAUGCUGGUGGUAACUGAACUUUUUACAAAAUUUCAUGUCAGUUUCCAGACUUUCGUUUUGCUCAAAAUUUCUCACGGAACUAAGACUUUGUUACUUGGAUCACCGAACUUUGACUUUUGUUAUAAUUUGGUGAUUCUGCCUUAAGUUUAUUAGUUUGCCAAUGGAAGAGCUGCUGCGGCACUAUAGUUGACAUGUAGCCCUAUUGUCUCGUCUGUUAGUCAAACUGACGGAAAUGGAUGGAGUGACCAAAUUGUAGCAAAGUUUAAUUUAAGCUGAUGUUUGAGCCACAUUCUAGAAAAAAAAUGUAUUAUUCAUGUCAAAUCAAUAGGAAAUGUAUGGUUAAAAAAUAAGGAAAAGUUUUAGAUUUGCAUAUAAUAUUAUUUUAUUGAAAAAUGUGUGGUUGAAAUAAUGUCAAACCAUUGUUGAAAAAUGUAUUUUUUUGAAAAUAAUGUAGCUCAAACAAUCCCUAAGUAAUAAAAAAACGUGAAUUUUAGUAAGAGCAUCUCCACGAGACUCUCUAUUCUUAAAGAACGAAUUUUGUCAUUAAGAGAGCAUCUAUUGACUAUAAAUUUAGACAAUAAAAUUUUUUAAAUAUCCCAUCAAGCUCUUUAUACUUAGUACUUAAUUUUACUGCUUCAAAAAAAUAUUUAAUUUUUUUCCUAUAUUUUAUUUUUACUAGCUUCCAUCCAAAUUAUUAUAUUAUUUUUCUCCAUGAAAAAUUGAAAUAUUUUAAAUGCGUACAAUUAUAGAGAGUACGUUUUGCUCUCUAAAUGUGGAGAGUCAAACUCACUUUCCAUUUAAAAAUGUUAAUUUAAAGUCUCUUGGAGCAUAAUUUUAGGGGUUAACUCUUUAAGAAUAGAGAGAAUUUUAUGUUCAAAAAGUUUCUUGAAAAUGCUCUAACCAGCAUGAAAUUCACUAAAAAGCUUAGUGUCAUCGGAGUAUGUAACACUGAUAAAAUACAAGCUUGGAUUUUGGCAUCCCCAGGGCUUACUUUGAUUGGCUUUGUUAUCUGCAACCUUAAAUGCUAUCGGUGGCAAGAACAAAUGGGAUGUAAAUUAAAUUUUGUCGUACUUCUCAUUUCUAAGUGUAGGAUAAUACAGUUGGUUCUUCACAACACGUUGAUAUUUUCCCCCAAAAAAUUAGCCUGGCCAUUCAUUAUGCCUGUCUUAAAGGGAAGUUUAUUGUUCCUUUGAUUUCGAAGAACUCUGCUUCCUAAUAUCUGCAGAUCCAUAUUUGAUAGUGUUGAUCCAAAUUAAGGUAGACCAUGUAUGUUAUGGCUUGAGUUUCUUGUCUGUUGUAAUAGGAUAAAUAUGCAGUGUCCUUUGCAUCCUCACUUUAUUUAUUAUGACCCUUUCCUAUUUCUUGUUCAGGUUUCUCAAAUUCGGACAAAGAAAGGACAGACAAAAGUUUUUUACAAUGUAGGAUGAUCUUAAUGUUUGAUGCAUCCUUCAGUGUGUUAAAAGAUGGUAUGACGCUUUUUGUCAAUAUUAUGUUGUAAUACAUUGUCGCGCAACUUUAAACCAAGCUUUUAUUGUCUUUGUACUAGAAUUUGAGAAUUUGUUGUAUUGAAGUUUGUGAGGCAUUUUUGAUAUGACUAAAUUAUAAUGGACGAGAUUUUAGCUUCUUUUUAUUUUUAACACUGUCUAAUGGUUCUGAUUCACUUUACUGGACAUACCGGUAAUAUGCAUCAGUGACCUCAACUGACCACUAUGGUUCUCGGCUGGAUUCAUAUCUGCAUCUAAGUGGACAAUUUAUACAACUUCGUAGCAUAAAAUCUGGCUGUUAUAUUUGCGACUUCCUGUGUAUAGUCUCGGGAGUCUUGUGCUUCGUGAUAUUGAUUUUAUGAGUCUUUGUUCGUCUAAGUUGAGCUGGGGACGAAAAGGAAAAAAACCAUAUUUUGUGAAAGUGAAGUGCGGUUGAAUUCUCUGAUCUAAACACAGUUCAUCGUCCCUCAUUUUGCUUUUUCUGUGGUACAGAUGAAUGAAGUGUGUAAGAGUCAAGAUCCCUUUACUCCACCCCACCCCACCCCACCUCAUUUUGCUUUUUCUGUGGUACAGAUGAAUGAAGUGUGUAAGAGUCAAGAUCCCUUUACUCCAAGCUCAACUUCUCCACAAGCUUCCAACUAAAGUAUGAGCUUUGUCCUUAGCCCGAAACUUGUUCCACCCACCCCACCCCACGCCACCCAG